ACGGAGGUUCCCAGCGUUGUUCGGAAUUACUGGGCGUAAAGGGAGCGCAGGCGGAUAGGUCAGUCUAAAGUGGAAUCCCGGGGCUCAACCUCGGACGUGCUUUGGAUACUGCCUGUCUUGAGUUCGUGAGAGGAAAGCGGAAUUCAGGGUGUAGCGGUGAAAUGCUUAGAUAUCCUGAGGAACACCGGUGGCGAAAGCGGCUUUCUGGUACGAAACUGACGCUGAGGCUCGAAAGCGUGGGGAGCGAACGG
rnacentral:rRNA from 1 species